rnacentral:rRNA from 1 species
CUUGGUCAUUUAGAGGAAGUAAAGUCGUAACAAGGUCUCCGUUGGUGAACCAGCGGAGGGAUCAUUACCGAGUUUACAACUCCCAAACCCCUGUGAACAUACCUAUUGUUGCCUCGGCGGUGCCUGUUCCGACAGCCCGCCAGAGGACCCCAAACCCUGAUUACAUUWAAGAAKUCUUCUGAGUAACCGAUUAAAUAAAUCAAAACUUUCAACAACGGAUCUCUUGGUUCUGGCAUCGAUGAAGAACGCAGCGAAAUGCGAUAAGUAAUGUGAAUUGCAGAAUUCAGUGAAUCAUCGAAUCUUUGAACGCACAUUGCGCCCGCUAGUAUUCUGGCGGGCAUGCCUGUYCGAGCGUCAUUUCAACCCUCAAGCCCCCGGGCUUGGUGUUGGGGAUCGGCGAGCCUCCGCGCCCGCCGUCCCCUAAAUCUAGUGGCGGUCUCGCUGUAGCUUCCUCUGCGUAGUAGCACACCUCGCACUGGGAAACAGCGCGGCCACGCCGUUAAACMCCCAACUUCUGAAMGUUUGACCUCGGAUCAGGUAGGACAUACCCGCUGAACUAAGCAUAUCAAUAAGCGGAGGA